CCUACGGGUGGCAGCAGUGAGGAAUAUUGGUCAAUGGUCGGGAGACUGAACCAGCCAAGCCGCGUGAGGGAGGAAGGUACAGAGUAUCGUACACCUCUUUUGUCAGGGAACAAAGACUGGGACGCGUCCCCGGAUGAGUGUAUCUGAAGAAAAAGCAUCGGCUAACCCCGUGCAAGCAGCCGCGGUAAUACGGAGGAUGCGAGCGAUAUCCGGAGUUAUUGGGUUGAAAGGGGGCGCAGGCGGUCUGUUAAGUGAGCGGUCAAAGCCCGGGGCUCAACCCCGGCCCGCCGUUGAAACUGGCAGUCUCGAGUUGGAGAGAAGUAUGCGGAAUGCGCGGUGUAGCGGUGAAAUGCAUAGAUAUCGCGCAGAACUCCGAUUGCGAAGGCAGCAUGCCGGCUCCACACUGACGCUGAGGCACGAAAGCGUGGGUAUCGAACAGGAUUAGAUACCCCAGUAGUC
rnacentral:rRNA from 1 species